UACGCAGGUGGCAAGCGUUAUCCGGAUUUAUUGGGCGUAAAGGGAACGCAGGCGGUCUUUUAAGUCUGAUGUGAAAGCCUUCGGCUUAACCGGAGUAGUGCAUUGGAAACUGGGAGACUUGAGUGCAGAAGAGGAGAGUGGAACUCCAUGUGUAGCGGUGAAAUGCGUAGAUAUAUGGAAGAACACCAGUGGCGAAAGCGGCUCUCUGGUCUGUAACUGACGCUGAGGUUCGAAAGCGUGGGUAGCAAACAGG
rnacentral:rRNA from 1 species